rnacentral:rRNA from 1 species
AACAAACGCUGGCGGCGUGCCUAAUACAUGCAAGUCGAACGGGGUAGCAACACCUAGUGGCGCACGGGUGAGUAAUACAUGGGUAAUCUGCCUCAAAGUUGGGGAUAACCUUCCGAAAGGAAGGCUAAUACCGAAUAAGACCACAUGAUCUGCGGAUCAAGAGGUCAAAGGUUUUUCGCUUUGAGAUGAGCCCAUGCGGGAUUAGCUAGUUGGUGAGGUAAUGGCUCACCAAGGCCACGAUCCCUAGCUGGUCUGAGAGGAUGAUCAGCCACACUGGAACUGAGACACGGUCCAGACUCCUACGGGAGGCAGCAGUAGGGAAUAUUGCGCAAUGGGGGAAACCCUGACGCAGCGACGCCGCGUGAGUGAUGAAGGCCUUCGGGUCGUAAAGCUCUGUCGUAUGGGAAUAAUAAACUGAAAGUACCAUACAAGAAAGGAUCGGCUAACUUCGUGCCAGCCGCCGCAGUAA